rnacentral:lncRNA from 1 species
GUGGCAAAAAAAGAGAGGGCUGUGAUCUUGUACCAGUUUAGUGACUUCACUAAGAAACGGUAAUGAUUUUGUAAGGAAAAAAUCAAUACUAAAUUUGUUCUCACCUUCAAAACUCUCGUCAUUUUUGCCAACUGCCACGGCUUCAUUUGACAGGGGAGUUGGAUUUGCAGCUUGUAGGUUUAGUUGCAAUUUCCCUCUGGGAGAUAGACGAGCAUUCCCCCCAGCGCUUCCACUCCAACAGCCUGCAGAAACUUCAGCAUAACAUCAGUUUCUUAUUUCUUGAUGCAGUGUAAAUAAGCAUAGGCAACACUAGAAUGAUUUAUCAUAAAAAGCUUCAUGAUUACAGGCAUCAAUCAAUCAUUCAAUACAUUCUAUUAACAGAAAGAACAUGAAAAUGAUAAUAAAUUAAUCUAAAUAUAAAUAAAUUAUAAUAAUCAUAUGUUAUUAUGCAAGCAUUCAUUCUUAAACAAGUGCAGCGUAUCAAAUACUGACUUGUCAUGAAAGCACAAAAUAAACAGGGGCGUUAUUGAAGACACAAAAUAAGGUGAUUCAAUAUCAGGUUUCCAUGGUCAGUUGAUGCUACUACCUUCUUCAAUCAGAAUUCAGUUUCUCAUUUGCUGCAAUAACUUGCCAACUUAAAUAUAAAAGUCCCUCCUUUCCCCUUUUAUACUAUACAAUACAAACCUAUAAGCUACCAAAUGAAUUAAAUUACCCAAUUACAAAACAAUGAUUUUGAUUACAGGCAGCAGAUUCUCCGCAGCCAAGCGAGGCACAACUGAGUACAGAGAAAAUACAAUAACAAUAAUAAACAAAGAAAAGACUGAUAGAACAAUUGAAGUAGAAAUUCUUAUGUUUUCCUCCAUUCUAUUUUCCCAAAAAAAGUAUUGAAUGAGACACAAGGGAAAUAGACACAAGAGAAGUUAUCAGAGCAAGCUUAGUAGCAUCUUAAAAGGACUUCCUCUAGUUCCACUAGUAAGCUUAGUAAACCAAUUAUUUCCAUAACAAUUGCUUGCCGUUUUGGAAUGCAACCAUGAGUAUCAAGCACAUCCAACUGACUCCAAUCCAGCACUAAGAAACGGUAAUGAUUUUGUAAGGAAAAAAUCAAUACUAAAUUUGCUCUCACCUUCAAAACUCUCAUCAUUUUUGCCAACUGCCACGGCUUCAUUUGACAGGGGAGUUGGAUUUGCAGCUUGUAGGUUUAGUUGCAAUUUCCCUCUGGGAGAUAGACGAGCAUUCCCCCCAGUGCUUCCACUCGAACAGCCUGCAGAAACUUCAGCAUAACAUCAGUUUCUUCAUUUAUUGAUGCAGUUAAAUAAGCAUAGGCACCACUAGAAUGAUUUAUCAUAAAAAGAUUCAUGAUUACGGGCACCAAUCAAUACAUUCUACUAACAAUCAAAUGUUAUUAUGCAAGCAUUCAUUCUUAAUCAAACAUUAAUUUACAAAGUAAUUUCAUUCAUUAAAAUAAUUAACCUAAAAAAGUCUUUAAAAUAUCUGAUACAGCACAAGGAAAUAUAAAAAAGGGAAGAAAUGAAGCAUUACAAAGAAACAAAAGGGAUUCAAUUACCAUAACGGGGGGAGGAGGACGGGCGAGAGAGGAGGAGAGAGGAGGGAGAAGUGGUUAUAAGCGAGCUUAGCAGCGUUAUUUUGAACUUUCUUAGAGGAAGAAGAGUGGAAAGGAGAGGAAAAGAGGGUGGCGUUGAUGGUGACAGUGGCAAAAAAAGAGAGGGCUGUGAUCUUGUACCAGUUUAGUGACUUCACUAAGAAACGGUAAUGAUUUUGUAAGGAAAAAAUCAAUACUAAAUUUGUUCUCACCUUCAAAACUCUCGUCAUUUUUGCCAACUGCCACGGCUUCAUUUGACAGGGGAGUUGGAUUUGCAGCUUGUAGGUUUAGUUGCAAUUUCCCUCUGGGAGAUAGACGAGCAUUCCCCCCAGCGCUUCCACUCCAAC